GGGCGGAUGGUGAAAUUGGUAGACACGCUAGCUUCAGGAGCUAGUGGGUGUAAACUCUUGAGGGUUCAAGUCCCUCUCCGCCCACCA
rnacentral:tRNA from 1 species